UACGGGGGGGCAAGUGUUACUAGUCUUGAUUGGGCGUAAAGGGCAAGUAGGCGGCUCUUUCAGUUUUUAAGUAAAUACCCGAGCUCAACUUGGGAAAUCUUUUAUAUACAAUAGAGCUUGAGUUUAAUUGGAGAUGGCUGUAUUCCUAGUGUAGAGAUAGAAUUUGAUGAUAUUAGGAGGACAAUCAAUAGGCGAAGGCUGCCAUCUAGGUUAAAACUGACGCUGAGGUGCGAAAGCAUAGGUAGCAAACAGGAUUAGAUACCCUGGUAGU
rnacentral:rRNA from 1 species